rnacentral:rRNA from 1 species
AGCGAACGCUGGCGGCAGGCCUAACACAUGCAAGUCGAACGAACCUUUCGGGGUUAUUGGCGGCCGGGCGGGUAACUCGUGGGAACGUGCCCUUAGGUUCGGGUUAACCCAGGGAAACUUGUGCUAAUCCCGAGUGUGCCCUUCGGGGGCAAGAUUUAUCGCCUAUAGAGCGGCCCGCGUCUGAUUAGCCAGUUGGUUGAGGUAAUGGCUCACCAAGGCGACGAUCGGUAGCUGGUCUGAGAGGAUGACCAGCCACAUUGGGACUGAGACACGGCCCAAACUCCUACGGGAGGCAGCAGUGGGGAAUCUUGCACAAUGGGCGAAAGCCUGACGCAGCCAUGCCGCGUGAACGAUGAAGGUCUUAGGAUUGUAAAGUUCUUUCAGCGGGGACGAUAAUGACGGUACCCGAAUAAGAAGCCCCGGCUAACUUCGUG